AGCACAUGGUCUCUUACUUGUA
rnacentral:miRNA from 8 species